rnacentral:lncRNA from 1 species
AGAAAAAGAGAGAAAUCUUAGAAAUUCUCAGAAAAAAGCAAAACAUCUAACCUCAAUUAGUAGACUCAAAUCACCAUGGCCCUUGGAUCUAUUAUAUUUUCUGAAAAAUUACCCACCUAUUCCAUUAUAAAAAUAGUCUAAAGUAACCCCUAAAUUUAUAUCUAAAUUAUUCGCAUAGGCCAUUAUAUAAAAUAAACUAAAGUAACCCCUAAUCUUCAUCUAAAAUGUCCACUUAUGCCAUUAUCCGCUCGCAAGUCCUCCUCCCUCCCCCGCAGACUCACCCAGCCGGAUCCCCUCUCCCUCCCUCCAUGGGCAGAUCUCAACCUCCUCCCUCCCUCACCUACCUCCCAGGACAGAUCUCAACCCCUCUCCUAACUAUGCCACCGCUCCUCUCCCCCUCCUCGCGCC